rnacentral:rRNA from 1 species
AAAUGAAUAGACGGGGGCCCGCACAAGCAGUGGAGUAUGUGGUUUAAUUCGAAGCAACGCGAAGAACCUUACCAGGGCUUGACAUCCUUCGAAUGCGGUGGAAACACUGCAGUCCUACGGGACGGGGAGACAGGUGGUGCAUGGUUGUCGUCAGCUCGUGUCGUGAGAUGUUGGGUUAAGUCCCGCAACGAGCGCAACCCUUGUCGUUAGUUGCCAGCGCGUGAAGGUGGGCACUCUAACGAGACUGCCGGCGACAAGUCGGAGGAAGGUGGGGAUGACGUCAAAUCAUCAUGCCCUUUAUGUCCUGGGCUACACACGUACUACAAUGGCUACUACAGAGGGCAGCGAAGCCGUGAGGCGGAGCGAAUCCCAGAAAAGUAGUCCCAGUUCGGAUUGCGGGCUGCAACUCGCCCGCAUGAAGUCGGAAUUGCUAGUAAUGGCAGGUCAGCAUACUGCCGUGAAUACGUUCCCGGGCCUUGUACACACCGCCCGU